CCAGACUCCUACGGGAGGCAGCAGUGGGGGAUAUUGCACAAUGGGGGAAACCCUGAUGCAGCGACGCCGCGUGUGGGAAGACGGUCCUCUGGAUUGUAAACCACUGUCCCCAGGGACGAAGAUGACGGUACCUGGGGAGGAAGCUCCGGCUAACUACGUGCCAGCAGCCGCGGUAAUACGUAUGGAGCAAGCGUUAUCCGGAUUUACUGGGUGUAAAGGGAGCGUAGGCGGUAAGGCAAGUCUGAUGUGAAAGGCCAGGGCUCAACCCUGGGACUGCAUUGGAAACUGUUUAACUGGAGUGUCGGAGAGGCAAGUGGAAUUCCUAGUGUAGCGGUGAAAUGCGUAGAUAUUAGGAGGAACACCAGUGGCGAAGGCGGCUUGCUGGACGAUGACUGACGCUGAGGCUCGAAAGCGUGGGGAGCAAACAGGAUUAGAUACCCUUGUAA
rnacentral:rRNA from 1 species